rnacentral:rRNA from 1 species
CCCUUAGAUGUUCGGGGCCGCACGCGCGCUACACUGAAGGACUCAGCGUGUCUCUCCCCCUAUCCCGAAAGGGAUGGGCAACCCGUUGAACCUCCUUCGUGCUAGGGAUUGGGGUUUGCAAUUAUCCCCCAUGAACGAGGAAUUCCCAGUAAGCGCGAGUCAUCAGCUCGCGUUGAUUACGUCCCUGCCCUUUGUACACACCGCCCGUCGCUACUACCGAUUGGAUGGAUUAGUGAGACCCUCGGACUGGAACCUAGAGGCGGUGGUUCAUCCACCAAAUCUUGGAGCCGGGAAGAAGGUCAAACUUGUCUAUCUAGAGGAAGUAAAAGUCGUAACA